CUCCCGACGGUCCACACGCCCUCUCCUCCCACCUCCUGCGCAGUCCAGUGGUCCGGCGCGCCCCUGCCUCCCACCUACUAGCGAUCAGCCGCUCCUCCACCUCUCACCCCCGAAACCAGCCGCCACCCCGACCCAGCCACCACCGCCGCCCCCAAUCCCAGCCACCUCCGCCAUCGUGGGACCUAACCACCACCGCCUCCCCCGGAUCCAGCCCACCUCCUCCCUUCUCUCGUCCCCACGACCUCCGUCGACCUCCUCGUAACUGCGUCAGGCCAGUACUCUCGGCUGGACCUCGUGGCCGCGCUGUCCUCCACUCAACCACAGUGCACUAUUCAACUCGGCAAUCCAACUGCUUGCUCGACGGUCGGUCGCUCAGGUAGCUGCGUGCAGGCCAACAUCUCCACGGGCAACAAGUUCUUCUUCCACACCUUGUUGCUGCUACUGCACCUUCUCGUUCGACCAGACUAAGUGAAUUGUUCAGCUACCUUGUGUGUAUAUUCUGCACCUUAGUGUUCAGUAAAAAUUCAUUGUGUUGGUGAGCUCAUAUACUACUCUUCAAUCAGUUCAAAAACGUAAACUUGGGAAGUUCGAAAAAACAAAACAUUCAAGGGGAGUUCGUUGGGGAGAACAAGUCGAAGUUCAGGUGUCAAAAAGAAACUGACAGUUCCAAAAGAUGAAACCCAAGAAAGUUCAGAGAAACAAAACACUAAUAAGUUCAAAAAUACAAACCCCAUAAGUUCAACAUAUAAACUAAAAAAAUGUUCAAAUGUAAUGAAUCUGGUAGUUAAGAUUGUUACCUUGUGUGCAUGCUCGAAGAGUGGCCUUGAAGAGAAGUUGUUAGCAGGGGAAAUGGUGAUGGGGAGAAAUAUCUCCUUUUUGAUUUGUUAGCAGGGGGAAAGCUCCUCCAACCUGUCCCCUCUCAUAGCCCCACUGCUCGCUGCCGAUGCACUCCAACCCGAGCGCCUCCAUGAUGCAUGUCAUCUCGCAGCCAAGCGAUGAGGUAACUCAUCAUCCUUGUGCGUCCUUCGCCCACUGUGCACCCUGCUACCCUCAACCUCCCUUCUCACAGGCAUGCUACCCCUACUUUUAUUUUGAUUCUCAGUUCAACUUGUGUGUUCUUUUCAGUACCUUAUGCUUUAAAUGCGCAGAAUCCUGAGGAAAAAUGAUACAUUUUGUUUGCUUUGCCACAAGGGCAUUGCUUAAACUUAACUUCUGUCUAAACUGUAACCAUCCAUUUUGAAACAGACGUUACUUUACUUUGUGUGGUUUCUGAAUCACAUUACACUAAAAAUGUAAUAGUGAAACUCUAAUCUUAUUUUAACCAUGUAAUAUACAUGGUUGGCAAAGAUGACUAUAGUUGUUAUAGCAAAAACAGUACAAACUUUUUAAAAUUUUCUUUUUGAACUUCUCCCAACUAAUACAUGAACUCGAUUAUCUCUUUAACAUGUACUUAUAUCAGCUUCGUUGGAUUUUGUGUAUGUGCUUGUAACACAAACAGUUCAUAUCUGAGAGGCCAUACGUUCAAGUUCACUAGUAUUUAUAAAUGUUGGUAGCACUACUAGUAUUUACAAAUCUGUAACCUAAGGACUAAGCUUGCAUCUUGUUACUUCUAUGGAGGCACUCACCUCAUAAUUUUAUUGGACCAACCACUGACCUGACAUGGUGCUCAUAAUCUUGGUUGUCUUGCCUCAUAUGAAAGAACAUUGUUAUAUUAUAUGGUGUUAAUUUACAUCAGCUCAAGAUGCAUUCUUUACAUCAGCUCAAGAUCAUUUAGUUCAGUGAUUUCACACACACAAAAAUUGAACUAAAAACAUGAAUAAGUUGCAUCUUUUACAUCAGCUCAAGAUCAUUUAGUUCAAGUGAUUAUUGUUUUAUUUUCUUCAAUCAGUUCAACAUGUAUUAUGUCAUCAAUUCGUAAUGAGAAGGCAGGAAAAAGUUCAAUACUUGUGUGUCAAAAACAUAAGAGUAUAGAGAAACUAUUGUAGUAGUUGAAUCAAAUAAAUCGCUUCAGUUCUGACUCGGAUCGGUUCUUGCCUAAAAUGCAUUGAAAAAUCAGGCUUGAGAAGCAUCUUUUCUCUAGGAUAUGUGGCUGGUAUUUAGUUUGUGGUUGUGUGGUACCUACACCAGCAUUUUCCAUCAAAACCUCCAGAAAGUGAUAUCAUCUGAAGGUGAAAAUACGAAAUCCUUUUACUGCUCACUUUCUUGUCUCACUCAUUCAUAUUAUUAUAUGUACACAAAUCCUUUUACGAAAACCUCCAGAAGCAACAAACAGCUGCACAAGUUCAUCUUUUGUGACACAUUCAAUACGAAUUCUGAUGUUCCUUUGCUAGGUGAUGAUUUCACUGAGUUGGGGAUUCGGUGAUGCUGCUUAAUGCACGAAAGAACCAAAUUAUUUUGCAUUCAGCCGCUGGUGGAGUUGGUCUUGUGGACCACAAAAUUAGCUUGAUCUGAAGCUAGCUAGCUUGAUGUGAAGCUCCCCCUGGGUUCAGUUAGCUGGAUGGUGCAGUCAACUACUAGGAGUACAUAACUAGUUUUGGUGUACAAACAAGAUAGGGGAUCAAUUAAACUCUAGUCGUGCAUUGUUUGUUUGUGCUAGUACGUUUAGGCCUAAUUUCUGUACCUCCAUGUUUGUGUAUUAAGAUAGUUGUACGAGUCAUAUUUUGCUUUCUGCAUUAUCUUGUCCUGUCUGUUCAGCAAGAAGGCUUGAGAGAAGUUCAAAGUGCAGACUAGUUCGUCGACGAGCUCUACUCCUACACGGUCGCCCACAAAGAGAAUUCAUGUGUUGCGCAGUUCAUGUGUAGCUACAAGGAGAGUUCCAAAAAUCAGAGCAUAAGAAAAAGGACUCAGCGUGUGUGGUCGUCAACAAGCACUCCUACACACUGAUCGUCCACGAAAAAAAAGUUCAUGUAUAGCUACAUGGAGAGUUCCAAAAAUCAGAACUGAGAAAGUCCAAACCUCCAAAGAAAGUUCUUUAACAGUAAAGAAAGCCUUCGUGUUUAUGUAUUUGUGAUUUGUGCUAUGUGAGAGUUCAUAUUGUAAUGGUGUUUGUUUUAAAUUUCAAAUUAUUAAAGCCAUGAGGUUCACACACUGCCACUAUGAAAGUUUGUGAAUUUGGUAUAUAAAAAAGAAAAGUGUUCAUAUUGUAUUAUUUUAGUGUCUAUUUUAAAGUUCAAAUUGUAAAGCCAUGAGGUUCACAUUGUCUUUAUAAAAGUUUGUGAGUUUGGUUACAUAAAAUAGAAAAA